UCACCCCUCAAGCCCUCGGCUUGGUGUUGGACGGCUUGGUCGUGGAAAUCCCGACCCCUCCUAAAGACAAUGACGGCGGCCUGUGGCACCCCCGGUACACUGAGCUUUUUACUGAGCACGUAUCGGACAAGGGUGCCCGGGACACGGUCCAUCUUCCCUUCAGCGGGAAAGCUUUCAA
rnacentral:misc_RNA from 1 species